UUGUACGAACAAUUCGAUAGUUUUUUCGUUAUUCGUAAUAAAAUAGGAUUGAGUAUGAGUCAGUACGUGAAAACCACCGGUUCUAUUGAUUCUUCAUUUAGAAAUAGAAAAACUUAUUUUUCGGCUAUUUAAAAAUGCCCAAGAGAAUAAAACCAUUUCGCUGUGCAGACAUUCGCAAUUUCAGUGAACAUAUUCGCAUUUUCAUCGAAGAAAUCGUCAUGGAAACUACAGAUCAUAUGACCAGAUCAUUUUUACGUGAAGUUCCCAAAAUAGGCGCCAGUCAAAUACGCCCUCCUAAUUGGCGGUUAAGUAAAAAUAGAUAUGAGUUUUAUGGAAAUAUUGCUUACAAAUAAAUAAUAUAAUCAAUUGUGUGAACAUUUGAGUAUUAGUAUUUCUUAAUUUAAAUUAGAAUGUCAUUGCAAAUUAUUUUAUUAAUAUUUUAUCCUUAAUAAAAUGGUUCAAAUGGAAAAA
rnacentral:lncRNA from 1 species